CUAACAUUGUGACAUCAUGGCAAGAGUGGCAGGAGAGAAGAUGUAUGUUCAGAGGCAGCCUGAGCUGCCUGUGUUCCCAAGGCAUCCUUUCUAAGGAAUCCAGGCCAAGGUCACCACCACCACACGUGCUUUCUGUGGCAGCCUCAUAGCAGAGAUGUCAUUGGCAAUGUUGAGCCUUCUGAAGAGGAAAAGACAGCCAGCGCUUCUGUUGUUCUCAUAUUCUGCAUAUUUUAUUGCCUUCACCAAUGGAUGGCAACACAAAGUUUUGUGGAUCUACUGAUUGUUAAUACAGUGGUGCCUCUGCCGUUUCAUAAAGGUCAUUCUGUCACAAAUCUUGUCUGCAGAGGCUCAUUCAGCUAAAGCUCAAUCAGCUAGAUGAGAGAACAGAGCAUCAUCCAAUGAGAAAGAGCCACCGAGAGCAAGAGCUGCCCUGGUGUCCAACACUGUCAGUGCUCUGAAGGGUAGGAGUACCAGCCAACCACAUGUGUGUUGAUCUCAAC
rnacentral:lncRNA from 1 species